rnacentral:rRNA from 1 species
UACGAAGGGGGCUAGCGUUGUUCGGAAUUACUGGGCGUAAAGCGUGCGCAGGCGGCUUCUCAAGUCAGGGGUGAAAGCCCAGAGCUCAACUCUGGAAUUGCCUUUGAGACUGAGUGGCUUGAGUACGGGAGAGGUGAGUGGAAUUCCCAGCGUAGAGGUGAAAUUCGUAGAUAUUGGGAAGAACACCGGUGGCGAAGGCGGCUCACUGGCCCGUAACUGACGCUCAUGCACGACAGCGUGGGGAUCAAACAGG